UAUUAUUUUCAUCCUAAAUCCAAAACACAGCACUAUAGCAGCUGCUAUGAAGAAAAUUAACUCCAUCCCAGCCAAAACCAGGACAGUUUCCAUUCACAAUUCUAUACCAUUUAUGUCAUAUUCAGGUCCUAUUCUUUCCAAUACAUCCUGUUUAAUCACCACCACCCUUCCUGUCCUUUGAUACAUACGCACAGCUAUAAUUACCUUCCCUCUAAAAUGUCCACUGAGUUCCUUUAGUCCAUGAUUUCAGGCUCCAUCUAUCAUAAUGGUUCUUCAGGACAGGAACAAUUGUUGGUGGUGUUGGAGAGUUGUAUACUAAAGCCAGCUUCGGUUCCACCAUCAUUGCACUUGUCUGUGUCCUUACAAGAUUAGUUCUUCAUUAGUCUGUGCAACUCUUACCGUAAUACCAUUGACAUGAUGUCUAACAGCCAUAGCAGUGAUGGCAUACAGCAUCAUAAAACAAUUGGCAUCAUGCAAUUCAAAUCUUGGGCUGUUCUCACUCAAAAUGAAAUCCCCUUGAAGUACACCUCAAAAUUCCUCACCCUUCUAUGUUACCCACCAAGUACACACAGGUCAUUGAGCAAAAGGAAUCCCAUGUAUAGGUUUGCCUUUUCCUGAAGCAGGAAUAACCCCCUACUGUCUUUCUCAGAUAGUUUUUCACAUGCACUACAGGGGCUUUAUCUUCUUCUACAAUACAAAAGGGUUUUGACUGGGCAGGACCAGCUUGAUUGGCAGAUCCUCUAGUGUUAACUAACCAAGAGGAUUUUACUAGAUUUCUGCUCAGUGCUUGAAUGUACCAGCUCUCUGUGUACUUUUUUUAACAGUCCAUUGUAUCAUAUGAUUUUUCCAGAUGCUGCUGCAUGAUAGGGGAUGGUUUUUCCACCCAAAAUCAGGAUGGCUGUCAGCUCUGUUGGUGUAUACCUCACAGCAUCCAGAGCUGUGAGCCUACAGCAGAAGCCACAUUAGAGAGAUGUCCUGAGAAUUUCAGCAGUGGGAAGAGUCUAUCAGCUUAUAGGAUAAUAUAAACUGAAUCACAAUUAGAGAGCCCUCGUCUUGAGGCUGAUGAGCCAUGGAAGUUAAUGGGAGCUAAGCAGGAAAGAGAUGUGUCUCCUCUGCACCUCUGUGUGUGACUCCAGAGGGCAGCCCCAGCUGAUGACAGAAUUUUAAAGUCACUUUCAGCGUGAGCCACAGUGCCAGGAAAUUUGUAGGGUUUAUUAUCUCCCUGAUAUGGAUAAAAAGCUGAGAACAAGAUUUAUGGAGAUUAAACACCAUUAUUUAAUGCAACAGUCUGGUUCAAAAGUCUUCAGGAUAAACUACUAACUGAAUGAGCAAAUACUACAAUACGGGAUAUGUGACUUUUCCUCCAACUUGUAAGAUAUCCGCAUUUGCCCUUCUUUCAGGCAGAUGCAUGCCCACCACUCUUCCUACACCACAUGAGUGUUUAUGGAUCUGAAGAAUCAUUUAGUAAAGAAGUGACAGGAUGAAGUUGUCCUUUCCCCAACUUUCCCUGGGAUUCUGCAACAAGAAUGGAUGGUGCAAGAUGUGUAACAGCAUGAGGCAGUGGAUCACACAGCGUGGGUCUGAUAAAGAAUCUGUCUGCUGAGUUGGGACAUCUGUACACAGCUGAAGAAAGUGUGAACAACCCCAAAGGACCAAACAUGACAGAACUGGCAUGAAGAAAAUAGAAAGAUGCUGCUUAAAAGAAAUGUUGUGAGUUCAGCAUGUAAAGAUACAGAGCAAGAAAGCAGGGACAGCCAGAAGGAGAAAUGUUGUAUGGCAGUAAAAUUUCAUCUAACUGGAAUCUAAUCUAACUGGAAAAUUUUAAAACCAAACCAGAAAAGGCAUUGUCUCUGAGAAGACUGUAGCUAUCUGGAGGAGAAAGGAGGCCAUAAGUUACAGUGCAGUUCGUGGAUGAAGAAAGAAUGCCAUAGCAAAUUAAUUGAUCAUGAACAUGAACUGAAGCAUAGUGUGAAUGAGCUGGUAGGAUGUGCAUUUAGCUUGCAUUCAGGCUGCUAACCAUCUGGGUGUACUAGUACUCCCUUCACUGAAGGGAGGUGGGGCAAUGUCAAGCAAUCCCACAUUUAACAUUUAACUCUGUUUGAUCCUUUAUUAACGUCAAUGUUUACACAGUGUUAUAAAACAUCCUGAGUUGCCUGCAACUAAUCUCCCUAUGCUAUGCUCCCUUUUCUAAAGUCCUAAAGCAUAACUGUCUUAAUAUCACUGUUUUUUGACACAUUCUUUAAAGAAAAGAAAGCAUGAAUCCCAUAAACAAAUCAAAAAUGCAGUAGGCCUUUGGAUUUGUUGUGGUGAUUUAAUGUCUGAAUGAACAAGAAAAAAACAUUUAUUUCUAAAUUGAUGAGAUCAAACAAUAAAGAUUUGAUGGAGCUAACACAUCCUUUCUCUUUAAUUAAAGACAAACAUGAGCCUUCAAGAAAAAGAAGCAGCAGUUCAAAUACAUAUUAAUUUUAGUAAUAAACAGUCUGUACAGAGAUGGAUCAUUUUCUUGCUAUUUUGUUGUAGUGCAUAGUGACAGUAAAAGUAAGAAAACCAAAACAGGAUAAUUUUUACUUGUUAAAGAAAAAUAAAUCAAAAAGAGAUCAUAUUUUUUGAAGAUGUUUUACAAGGUGAAUAAAAUUUUCAAGGGAGGGGGAAAGGAAACAGAUUUUUUUAAAAAUAAGAGUUUUAAAGGACAUUUCCUAUUUCAGUCUCCUUGGGAAAUGUGUGAAUAGAAGCUAAACACACUGCUUAAUUUAAACUGUGAUGGAAAGAUGUAAAUUGGGAAAAUAUAAAUACCUAGACUUUUAGAAAUGAACAGUCGCACUUCACCACCAUAACCAUCUGGUAAGCUGCAAAUUGCAGCACCCAGAUUUCACAUUCUUUUUACCUAACAGCCAAAAGCUAAAUACUUGAAAAGUUCAUUAGAGCUAUCAGCAGCAUCUAAUAUUUGAAUAGCACAAGAUUAAGCUGAACUCCAGACCGAAACUUUGUGUCACUCUAUAGUGCCAAACUCGUGGCAAAAAACUGUGAUACCACUAAUGUAUGUCAUUUCUGUAAAGGGAAUCCUCUCAGCAUCCAGAAAGUAUCAGUUAUAAGCUAUGUAAACACCAAGCAUAAUUGCUAAUAAAAUGGUUGAUAUUAAAAAUUGGAA